AGAGCUUGCAGCCUCCUAAAGUGCUGUGGUGUUACUCUGGGCUGAAGCUUUCUGGAAUUGAAAUGGUGUGGUGGCACUCUGGGUGUGGUGGCUGUCUCAGCUGGGACAUGUGCUGUGACACAGGAGGGCAGCCCUCCUGGCAGCCUGUGUGGUCAGCAGAGAACAGAAGGGUGGAAGAAACUCUUCCCGAAGGCAGCUCAUAGUGGGCAGCUGGCUUGGAUUCUUUUGGCAAUGCACUCACCGAGCAGGAAAGUCUUGUUCCUAGAGACCUUGAAGCUUGGUGUUCUGGAUGUCUCCUCCCAAUUUGAAUUUACUUUGGACCCCAAAGCUUUCCCCUAUGGAAUGAGAAAGAAGCACCUCAUAAGAUACAGACUCCUAAAAGAAUGCUUGGCAGCUUCACACUGUGCUGUAUAGCUGCAGAUGGUAUCACAGAAUCUCAGAAUGUGCUGAGUUGGAAGGGACCCAUCAGGAUCAUCAGCUCCUGGCCCAGUUCAGGACAGCCCAAAAUUCCCAGCAUUUUCCAAACACUUCCAGAACUGCCCCAGGCUUGGUGCUGUGAGCAUUCCCUGGGGAGCUGUUCCAGUCCCAGCCCCCUCUGGGUGUAAAAUCUUCUCCUGAUAUCCAACCUCCUGUCUCUGUGCUCAGCAAGUGCAGGAUGCUCCCCCAGAUAUUUCUGCUACUUCUACACACCUGAAGAAAUGGCUUUACUAGCAUUUGGGGCGCCUUAAUCUUCAAUGAACCAUUAAACUGCAAAUUACUUGAGGAUCUCAUUAAUCUGCUUAUUAAUUCUACACUGACCUGAGAGCCAAACUGAAAGUAAAGCCCAGGUUUUUCCAAAGCUGGGCUUACACAAAACUUAGGUUUGUGUGGGCACUCGCAUCUGGUAAAGAAUUUAUGGUUUAAUCUCCAGAUUUUAGAAAUGAGACCGAUUAAUACUUACCUAGAUCCCUGCAAAAGGCACCUCUUCAUCUUCCACAGGCAGCCCUAUCUUCUCUUUGUGAGAAGUGAUGGGUUUCAACAUCAGGUAGACAA